rnacentral:lncRNA from 1 species
CUUUACUCUGCGGACUCACCCUGAAUUCUUUCUUGCGCGAGAUCCUAGAAUCCUCUCUUAGGGUGUGGAUCCGGACCCCUUUCCGAUCCCACUUCCUGUCCCACCCAGCCCCAAAUGUCCGUGGAACCGGCCCCACUAACCUGCAUCCAGCUGCCUCUUCCACCUGGGCCCUGCUCUCAGAUGGAAGUGUCACCAAACACCCAGAUCGCCGUGCUCCUGCUUCUCUGGAUGAAGUGAAGGAUGAAUAUUAUCCCAGGCUAAAGUAACGAAAAGUCCAGAAGCCAGCGAUGACAGAGAUGUGUGUGGAAGAAGGCUGUGAGCAUUUCCAUCAAACCCUGUGAGUUUCCGAAGAUCUUAUCCCGAAGAUAUGUGUUUGGCCAAUAAAACACUGAAUAAAAAUCCAUCAUGUUUCCAGAGCCAAGUCGACUUCUGCUGGGCUGGGGUGAGGCAGAGGCAGAAUCAGACCUUAUAAAGAUGUUUUGAAUAGCGGCUGUUCUGGGAUCGCAGCCCAGUGACAGUGAAUGCUUUCUGAGUUCUCGGAUGAGAAGGAACAGAGUGACAGACUGACCAUAACUGGCCACUGUGGUGUGUGCUCAGCUCCAGACCAGCACCUUAUUUGGUGGGGGGAGAGGGUUCAAGGCCCCAGCGAGACAGUGAGUCCUGGUAGGGAAGGAACUCUGGCCAAGCUGCAGGCUGUGCAGUGGAGUGGGUUAGGAGGGGCCCUCGGGGAGGGAAGAACAAGGAGAGAGGGAAGUGAGAGGAAAGGAGGUUUCUCCUUCAUCUAAAUCCCAAGUAUACACCCUUCUAAGGUCUGUUCUGGCCCUUCCCUAGGGAGUGCCUUCCCCUCUACCUGCCAGGUCCCAUAGAUAAGGAUGUCCUCCCCUGCAGGCGCCUGGCCUCCAUCACAGCAUGCCCACUCUGUGCCCGCUGCAACCUCCUCUGACUCUCCCACUAGACCGGUGCCUGGUACACAUGCUCCUGCGUGCAUGAACAUCGGUCAGCUAUGGGUCCUCAAGAUGACAAAACCCCCUGCUCCUGUGUCCUCACGGGGAUCUGCACCAGCACUGGGCUGAACACUCUCCCUGCAAUCUGUCAGUCACGUCUUCUGUAGCAUUUUCUUUCUGGCAACAACGGUUGGGGUCAUUAAAAGUGUCUUUGAAAUGCAACCUUUUAAUUACAGGAGGAAUACUGCCCCUGGGAAGGGGCCUUUCUUCAAAUGCUCCAGGAAUUCCUUGGCCAAUACACUCCAGGGGGAACACAGCCCAAAACGGGCCUGUGGCUGUGAUCAGACCCAGGCAUCCUGUCAAAACAGGAGCCUGGGAAGGGGAAGCUCAGGGAAGGAAAG